rnacentral:rRNA from 1 species
GGCGGACGGGUGAGUAACGCGUAAAGAACUUGCCCUUUAGACUGGGAUAACAGAGGGAAACUUCUGAUAAUACUGGAUAAGUUAGUAUAUCGCAUGAUAUGCAAAUGAAAGCUACGGCACUAAAGGAGAGCUUUGCGUCCUAUUAGCUAGUUGGUAAGGUAAGAGCUUACCAAGGCGAUGAUAGGUAGCCGGCCUGAGAGGGUGGACGGCCACAAGGGGACUGAGAUACGGCCCUUACUCCUACGGGAGGCAGCAGCU